rnacentral:rRNA from 1 species
AAUCAACGCUGGCGGCGUGCCUCAGACAUGCAAGUCGAACGAUUAAAGCUCUCUUCGGAGAGUGUAUAGAGUGGCGCACGGGUGAGUAACACGUAAGUAAUCUACCUUCGAGUGGGGAAUACCGUCCGGAAACGGACGCUAAUACCGCAUAAUGCAGCGGCAUCGUAAGAUGACAGUUGUUAAAGAUUUUAUCGCUUGAAGAGGAGCUUGCGGCAGAUUAGCUAGUUGGUAAGGUAAUGGCUUACCAAGGCUACGAUCUGUAACCGGUCUUAGAGGACGGUCGGUCACACUGACACUGAAUAACGGGUCAGACUCCUACGGGAGGCAGCAGUCGGGAAUUUUGGGCAAUGGGCGAAAGCCUGACCCAGCAACGCCGCGUGAAGGAUGAAGUAUUUCGGUAUGUAAACUUCGAAAGAAUAGGAAGAAUAAAUGACGGUACUAUUUAUAAGGUCCGGCUAACUACGUGCCAGCAGCCGCAGUAAU